AGAGCUUACCAAUCACAAAGUCAUUUGGGGAGACAGCCAGGAGAGAUCGUUCAAUGCGUUGAAGAAACUUCUGACCUCCCAACCGAUCUUGAAGCUUCCGGAUCUGGAUGAAGACUUCAUUCUGAGAACAGAUGCCUCUGACCAGGGGAUUGGAGCUGUUCUACUCCAAGAGGAACAUGGAAAUAAGCUACCGGUAGCAUAUGCCAGUCGGAAAUUGCAACAGAGAGAGCAGAAUUAUGCAGUGGUUGAGAAAGAAUGCCUUGCUAUUGUUUGGGGAGUUCAGAAAUUUGAGCAGUACAUCUACGGUAGAGAAUUUCUUCUUGAAACGGAUCAUCAACCCCUGGUGUACCUGCAGCGAUCCAAAACAGCCAAUGGAAGAUAAAUGCGAUGGGCUCUUAUUCUCCAGUAAUACAGGUUCAGAAUCUGUGCUAUAAAAGGAAGCGACAAUGUUGGAGCUGACUACUUGAGUCGUACUUAGGAGACUUCAUACCUGGAUUGAAACUACCUGUCAUCUACGCGAUGUGAGUUAUUGUAAAAUGUACCAUUUUCUUAGGCAGGGGGAUAUUGUCACAAUCGCUUGUAUUUGUAUAUUUGUCAUGUGUGUCUGUAUAUAUUGUGACGUGUUGUUACUAUCUGUAUGGCGUAACGGAUGUUCCGUAGAGGGUGAGUGAGCGCGCACGAGCAGGAGCCAUGACAGUGUUCUAACAGGCCGUGUCGACGCAUUUGAGAUAUUUUAACAUUAUACGGGCACAUAAACCUUACAGUCUGUGCAAUAAUGUGGACUGGAGAGAGGUGAAGCCGGAUGGUCAAAACCGCCUGAGUCAUAUUACAGGACCAGAUGCUGCCAUACUGGACUUCAGUAAAUAAAAGCCCUAUGUUGAGGACAAGGCACCGUUUGCCGAAUUAUGGAGACCCAGAUAGAUCUGACGGCGGGUUCUCAUAUGUCAGUGAUUGGCAAUAUAUCUACAUUCAUCAUUCAUUCGAUGAUAUCAGCCGUCCGUGUAGGAGGCUGUGCAGACAGACAAAAUGGUAUUUAGUCUGUGCAUUUCUUAUAUGAUAUUGCCACACGUGUGUAGACAUCAGACAGACUGACUGGUGUCCUAUAUAUAUUACAAGAGUAUGCAGCUGAUCUCCACCUAGUGUUUUUCUGGAGCAUAGGAGACAUGUGCAGAGACAUUGUUAAGUGUGUGUAAGAUGUGAGAGUGUGACAUGAACAUUUGUAGUUAUCUUGCUGUAUUUUGUGUUGUGUUGUGUAUAUAAAUUUACUAUUUUUGUACAUAUCCGUUAUUGAGUUUUCUCUUCCCCAACUGGAGAUCAACCUCGCUUGUCCCACGUUACACUCUCCCUCAAAAAGGAUCUCAAAUGACCAUAAUCCCUAGUCUGUCCCAAUGUCAAAUCGGACAAUAUUCUUUGGGCUGGACCCCGUAAAGACAUCAUUAGCUGCUGAGCCCUUUCCCAAUCAGUCCAACCAUUCCACUCAGCCACUUGUUCAAAAUGAAUUAUAUACACUCUGAAAUCUGUGCUACCAUCAAAUAUCUGGGGUUCUUUUUGUUUUCUAUACCCUGAACUCAUGGUUGGUCUAGUUGGAUCUGUACCCACUAUAUUUGAACAAUUCAGGCUUGGAAAUGAUGGCCCACAGCAUGAAGAAUGCUCUUAGGUACCAGAAGGGUAAGGGGUACUAGUUCAAAAAUGCCCUUCGUGUUCCCUAACCAACUCAAUAUCUACUGUGUGCGAGUAAGACUGGUUUGGAGAUGGACCCCCAACAAUUGAGUAGGAAUGGUUUUGAGAUGGCCCGUCAACAGCUGAGUAUACAUUGCUUUGAGACGGCCCCUCAACAGCUGAGUAUGUUACGUGUGACCUUGGCCUUGCACCCACGUGCUGGUCAGAAAAAAUUCUAGCGUCUGUCGUACCAGCAGUGUACUGAUUACCUUGAUUUUCACAACCAACACCCUCUCGAAUUUGAGAUUUUGUGCGCCGAACAGGUUUAUUUACCUCAGGGGCAAAGCUGACAUUGUGAGUGGAUUUAACAGGACCUCCCACUGUACCACGUGCAGAGACCCUACCAUUACGACUAACGUUAGCAGGCUGCUCAUGUUCGAUUACUACUGUUGCGUUGUUAUAUAUAUAGAUGAGAUGGCUAAUUUCUUAAAUAUAUAUUAUUCAUUAUUCCAUGUGCCAAGUGUUGUAUGAGUUAUGUCCCUUUAGUAAAUUUCCGGAUAUUUCUGUUCGUUUCCUUUCUUGAAGCCCCGCGUCCAGAAACAAAGAAACAAGUGAGGUCAUUUCUCGGCUUGGCAUGAUUCUACCGGAGAUUUAUUCCAAAUUUCUCCGCAGUUGCAGUACCACUUAUAGAGCUUACCAAUCACAAAGUCAUUUGGGGAGACAGCCAGGAGAGAUCGUUCAAUGCGUUGAAGAAACUUCUGACCUCCCAACCGAUCUUGAAGCUUCCGGAUCUGGAUGAAGACUUCAUUCUGAGAACAGAUGCCUCUGACCAGGGGAUUGGAGCUGUUCUACUCCAAGAGGAACAUGGAAAUAAGCUACCGGUAGCAUAUGCCAGUCGGAAAUUGCAACAGAGAGAGCAGAAUUAUGCAGUGGUUGAGAAAGAAUGCCUUGCUAUUGUUUGGGGAGUUCAGAAAUUUGAGCAGUACAUCUACGGUAGAGAAUUUCUUCUUGAAACGGAUCAUCAACCCCUGGUGUACCUGCAGCGAUCCAAAACAGCCAAUGGAAGAUAAAUGCGAUGGGCUCUUAUUCUCCAGUAAUACAGGUUCAGAAUCUGUGCUAUAAAAGGAAGCGACAAUGUUGGAGCUGACUACUUGAGUCGUACUUAGGAGACUUCAUACCUGGAUUGAAACUACCUGUCAUCUACGCGAUGUGAGUUAUUGUAAAAUGUACCAUUUUCUUAGGCAGGGGGAUAUUGUCACAAUCGCUUGUAUUUGUAUAUUUGUCAUGUGUGUCUGUAUAUAUUGUGACGUGUUGUUACUAUCUGUAUGGCGUAACGGAUGUUCCGUAGAGGGUGAGUGAGCGCGCACGAGCAGGAGCCAUGACAGUGUUCUAACAGGCCGUGUCGACGCAUUUGAGAUAUUUUAACAUUAUACGGGCACAUAAACCUUACAGUCUGUGCAAUAAUGUGGACUGGAGAGAGGUGAAGCCGGAUGGUCAAAACCGCCUGAGUCAUAUUACAGGACCAGAUGCUGCCAUACUGGACUUCAGUAAAUAAAAGCCCUAUGUUGAGGACAAGGCACCGUUUGCCGAAUUAUGGAGACCCAGAUAGAUCUGACGGCGGGUUCUCAUAUGUCAGUGAUUGGCAAUAUAUCUACAUUCAUCAUUCAUUCGAUGAUAUCAGCCGUCCGUGUAGGAGGCUGUGCAGACAGACAAAAUGGUAUUUAGUCUGUGCAUUUCUUAUAUGAUAUUGCCACACGUGUGUAGACAUCAGACAGACUGACUGGUGUCCUAUAUAUAUUACAAGAGUAUGCAGCUGAUCUCCACCUAGUGUUUUUCUGGAGCAUAGGAGACAUGUGCAGAGACAUUGUUAAGUGUGUGUAAGAUGUGAGAGUGUGACAUGAACAUUUGUAGUUAUCUUGCUGUAUUUUGUGUUGUGUUGUGUAUAUAAAUUUACUAUUUUUGUACAUAUCCGUUAUUGAGUUUUCUCUUCCCCAACUGGAGAUCAACCUCGCUUGUCCCACGUUACACUCUCCCUCAAAAAGGAUCUCAAAUGACCAUAAUCCCUAGUCUGUCCCAAUGUCAAAUCGGACAAUAUUCUUUGGGCUGGACCCCGUAAAGACAUCAUUAGCUGCUGAGCCCUUUCCCAAUCAGUCCAACCAUUCCACUCAGCCACUUGUUCAAAAUGAAUUAUAUACACUCUGAAAUCUGUGCUACCAUCAAAUAUCUGGGGUUCUUUUUGUUUUCUAUACCCUGAACUCAUGGUUGGUCUAGUUGGAUCUGUACCCACUAUAUUUGAACAAUUCAGGCUUGGAAAUGAUGGCCCACAGCAUGAAGAAUGCUCUUAGGUACCAGAAGGGUAAGGGGUACUAGUUCAAAAAUGCCCUUCGUGUUCCCUAACCAACUCAAUAUCUACUGUGUGCGAGUAAGACUGGUUUGGAGAUGGACCCCCAACAAUUGAGUAGGAAUGGUUUUGAGAUGGCCCGUCAACAGCUGAGUAUACAUUGCUUUGAGACGGCCCCUCAACAGCUGAGUAUGUUAC